rnacentral:lncRNA from 1 species
AGUGCCUGUAACUUUCUUGCCUACGAAUCUUUUUUGCUGGUCGUGUUCACAUUUUGGUCAAGCAUACCUUAAAUAGCUCCAGAGAGGAAUUACUUGCAAUUCUGAGUAAACAACAAAGAGUUGGCCCCAUUACAUUGCUUUUUUGCUCCUGGCUUAUUUCUUUCUGUUUUUUUUUUUAA